rnacentral:rRNA from 1 species
ACUCCUACGGGAGGCAGCAGUAGGGAAUCUUCCACAAUGGGCGCAAGCCUGAUGGAGCAACACCGCGUGAGUGAAGAAGGGUUUCGGCUCGUAAAGCUCUGUUGUUAAAGAAGAACACGUAUGAGAGUAACUGUUCAUACGUUGACGGUAUUUAACCAGAAAGUCACGGCUAACUACGUGCCAGCAGCCGCGGUAAUACGUAGGUGGCAAGCGUUAUCCGGGAUUUAUUGGGCGUAAAGAGAGUGCAGGCGGUUUUCUAAGUCUGAUGUGAAAGCCUUCGGCUUAACCGGAGAAGUGCAUCGGAAACUGGAUAACUUGAGUGCAGAAGAGGGUAGUGGAACUCCAUGUGUAGCGGUGGAAUGCGUAGAUAUAUGGAAGAACACCAGUGGCGAAGGCGGCUACCUGGUCUGCAACUGACGCUGAGACUCGAAAGCAUGGGUAGCGAACAGGAUUAGAUACCCUGGUAGGAAAGCG